ACAAUCUCCCGUAAGACAAUUAGUCAGUGACAUUUUCUGCUAACAUGGACUUUAUUAUUUUUUUCCUUUUAAUGUGUUUUUCUCCAUCAUGUAUCCUGUGUCAGACAUUACAAGAGUCUGGUCCUGGAACUGUGAAACCCUCAGAGUCACUCAGACUGACCUGCACAGUUUCUGGGUUUGAGCUAACUAGCAAUAGUGUGAGCUGGAUCAGGCAGCCUCCUGGGAAGGGACUGGAAUGGAUUGGAGCUGCUUGGUAUGAUGGGAGCACAGCUCUUGCUGAUUCCCUUAAAAACAGAGUAACAAUUACUAAAGAUACUGGGAAGAAGCAGGUCUACCUCCAAAUGAAUGGGAUGGAAGUUAAAGACACUGCCAUGUAUUACUGUGCAAGAGACACAGUGACAGAAGAGAAUGAGGAAGUCAGACAAUAACUAAAUGUUUAGUCAUAGACCACAGUAAUGUAAAACCACAAAAAAAAAGAUAACUUGCUUUGACAGCCCCAUUAUCAUUCAUGUUAGUUAUAUGCAGCCUUAUUGUAGGCACCAAAAUAUACCAUGGUUUUGGGACUUU